GUCUCGUUGGUGUAGUUGGUUAUCACGUGGGUCUCAUAGCUACAUUACUGUGAUCUGCUCCAAGAGCAGGAAAUCCCAAGGCCGCCAGUUCGAGUCUGGCACGGGACA
rnacentral:tRNA from 1 species